AAAGCAAAGCACACUGCCAUGUGUGUACCUACGCAACUGUCUUGCAUGCUCUGCUCAUGUACCCCAAAACCUAUAAUCCAAUAAAAAAUUAAAAAAAAAAAAAAAAAAAAAAAAAGAAAUUCUAAAAGGAGUUCUAAAUCUUGAAACAAAAGCUUGAUAGGCAGCAAAAUAGAACUUCUUAAAAGCAUAAAACUCACAAGGCCUAUGAAACAAUAACACAAUGAAAAAUACAAAGUAUCUAGGUAACAGUUAACAUGAUGAAUGGGACAGUAUCUCACAUCUCAAUAUCAAUGUAAAACAUAAAUUGCUUAAAUGCUCCACUUAAAUGAUACAGAUUGGCCGGAAGAAAAAAUUACAAACCAAGUAUCUGCUGUCUGUAAGAGAUUCACCUAACAUGUAAGGAUUUAUAUAAACUCAAGAUGAAGAGGUAGAAAAAGAUACUCCAUGCAAAUGGACACCAAAAGCAAGCAGAAGUGGCUAUUCUUACAUCAAAUAAAACAGACAUUAAAGCAACAACAGUGAAAAAAAAGACAAAGAAGGUCAUUAUACAGUGAUAAAAGGAUCAAUCCAACAAGAAGGUAUUAUAAUCCUAAAUUUAUAUGUGCCUAACACUGGAGCUCCCAGAUUCAUAAAACAAUUACCACUAGACCUAUGAAAUGAGAUGAGUAGCAACAUAAUAAUAGUGGGGAACUUCAGUAUUCCACUGACAGUACCAUAUAGAUCAUCAAGACAAAGUCAACAACAACAACAAAAAAAUAGACUUAAAUGACACUCUAGAACAAAUGGACCUUACAGACGUUUAAAUAACAUUCUACCCAAGAUAUGCACAAUAUACAUUCUUCUCAUCAAUACAUUUAACAUUCUCCAAGAUAGACCAUAUGAUAGGCCACAAAGCAAGUCUUAACAAAUUUAUAAACAUCAAAAUUAUAUAUCAAGUAUUAUCUGAGACCACAGUGGAAUAAAAGUAGAAAUUAACUCCAAAAGAAACCCUUGAAACCAUACAAAGACAUGGAAAUUAAACAAUCUGCUCCUGAAUGAUUUUUGGAUUAACAAUGAAAUGAAGAUGGAAAUUAAAAAAUUCUUUUAAAUGAAUGAUAGUAGUGACAGAUUAUUAAAACCUCUGAGAAACAGCAAAAGAAGUGCUAAUAGGAAAGUUUAUAGUGCUAAAUGCCUACAUCAAAAAAUAUGAAAGAUCACAAAUUGACAGUCUAAUAUCACACCUCAAGGAACUAGAAAAAUGACAAAAACCCAAAGCUACCAGAAGAAAAGAAAUAAUAAAGAUCAAAGCAGAACUAAAUGAAAUUGAAACAAAAAAAAUGCAAAAAAUUAAACCAAAAACUGGUUCUCUGAAAACAUAAACAAAAUUGAUAUACUAUUAGUUAGAUUAACCAAGAAAAGAAGAGAGAAAAUUCAAAUUAUGGUCAUUUGAGACUACUAACAACACCUCUCUGCACACAAACUAGAAAAUCUAGAGGAAAUGGAUAAAUUCCUGGAAACAUACAACUCUCCUAGAUUAAAUCAGGAAGAAAUAGGUCCCCUGAACAGACCAAUAACAAACAAUAAGAUUGAAUGAGUAAUUAAAAAAAAAUUGCUAGCAACAAAAAAGCCCGGGGCCAGAUGAAUUCUGAUGUGAAUUCUCCCAGACGUUAAGAGAAUAAUUGGUACCAAUUCAAAUGAAGUAUUUCAAAAGAUUGAGAAAGAGGUAAUCCUCCCUAAAACAUUCUAUGAAGCCAGUAUCACCCUGAUUCCAAAACCAGGAAAGAACAUUAAAAAAAAGAAACUACAGACCAAUAUCCCUGAUAAACAUAGAUGCAAAAAUCCUCAAUAAAAUACUAGCUAACCAAAUCAAACAGCACAUCAAAAAGAUCAAGCAGGUUGAUCAAACCUACCAUAAUCAAGUGGGCUUCAUCCCAGGGAUGCAGGGAUGGUUUAACAUAUGCAAGUCAAUAAUUGUAACACAUCACAUAAACAGAAUUAAAAACAUGAUUGGCCUGUAAGGACGCGGAUCCUGCCCCGCCAGGUGGAAGAGAGCUCAAGCUAAGGGUGAUCAGCCUAUGACCUAGACCUCUAGACAAAAUAAAGCAGGGAAAAUUUGCUAGAAUCAAGAAUGAUGGAUCCAUGCUCAGUUGGAGUCCAGCUUUGUACUACAAAUGAGUGCCAUAAAACAUACUAUACUCGUCACACAGGUUUUAAGACUUUGCAAGAAUUGUCAUCAAAUGAUAUGCUUUUACUUCAACUUAGAACUGGAAUGACACUUUCUGGGAACAAUACAAUUUGCUUUCAUCAUGUAAAAAUUUACAUUGACAGAUUUGAGGAUUUACAGAAGUCAUGUUGUGACCCAUUUAACAUACACAAAAAACUAGCAAAAAAGAAUUUGCAUGUAAUUGACUUAGAUGAUGCCACUUUUCUGAGUGCAAAAUUCGGAAGACAGCUUGUACCUGGUUGGAAGCUUUGUCCAAAAUGCGCACAGAUAAUCAACAGAAGUGUGGGUGUUGAUACUGAAGACCGCCAGAGAAGGAAACCUGAGUCAGAUGGAAGAAUUGAGAAAGCUUUGAGAUCAUUACAAUUUACAAAUCCAGGAAGGCAAACUGAAUUUGCUCUAGAAACUGGUAAAAGAGAGAAAAGAAGGCUUAUAAAAAAUGCAACCGCUGGUUCAGACAGGUGAUACCAGCGAAGAGUAAGGUCUAUGUUAGCCAGGGGCUCCUGAUUUUUAGUGGGAUGGACCUCUGUGACUGACUUGAUGAAGAUUGCUUAGGAUGUUUCCAUGCUUGUCCUGCCUAUGGUUCUACCAAAUGUGGAGCUGAAUGCCACUGUGACCGCAAGUGGCUGUAUGAGCAAAUUGAAAUUGAAGGAGGCGAAAUAACUCAUAAUAAACACUCUGGAUAACCUGUGGUAUCAAACUAUGGGGCCUUUGAAGGUCUUUAUUUCUAAAAUUCUGUUACUCUAAGAUGCAUUUUAAGCUUGAUUGUCAAAUGACAGAGAUUUUGAAACCACCUCAAUGUGCAGUAAUUUUUCAUCUUCGAUGCUUUAAAAUUCACUAUUUGAUAUAAAUUUAGAUAGGCUAUUUCUCAGUAGUCAGUGUUAAGCCUGUCUGGAUCAGUAUAAACAAGUAGAGGGUGCAGGAAGUCCUCACUUUGCAUGGUUCCCAUGGGCACAAAUUUCAAUGACCUAGAUUUAAACACCACCAGUUUCCUUACCAGGAAGGAAAGGAAACUGGUGAUGUUUAAAUCUAAGUUAAAAUUUUAGUUAGCACAGUAUAACUAUGAGUAAUUACAUGAGGUACAAACUUCUCUGCUAGUUCUUCAGUUUACAGAUCACUAAGUAAAUAACAGAUAUGCUUCAUGAUCAGUGACCAGUCAUGUUACUUCUUUCAAAUUCUUCCAGUGGUUGAUCCCUGUGCAUCUGUUACUCAGUUCACUCACAGCAGAGCACGUAGUUAUGCUGUCUUUUUGUCAUCCACUUGACAUUUUAUAAAAGGGAACAAUUAGCCAACAAAGAUCAAAGUGCAGCAAAGCAAUGAAAAAUAGUAAUAACACUGGAAGUGAAAUUUGAAUCAAACAUAAAUUGAUUUGUAGAAGUCACUGAUCAUGGGAAUGUUGUUCUUGCUGCUAUGCAUUCAUAGGAGCUUAGUGAAGGCAAACUUAUCAGUACAUGUAAGAAAAGUGGUUGCAGUAAAGAUAAAUGUGUCCCGGCCAGGUGCAGUGGCUCACACCUAUAAUCCAUGAACCGAGGAUUACAGACGGGCCACGUAAUUGGGAGGCUGAGGUGGACAAAUCACAAGGUCAGGAGUUGGAGACCAGCAUGGCCAACAUGGUGAAACUCCAUCUCUACUAAAAAUACAAAAAAUUAGCUUGCCAUAGUGGCAUAUGCCUGUAAUCCCAUCUACUCGGGAGGCUGAGGCAGGAGAUUCACUUGAACCUAGGAGGCAGAGGUUGCAGUGAGCCGAGAUCGUGCCACUGCACUCCAGCAACAGGAAAGAAAAAAUGUCCCAGAGGAAGGGAAAAAUGCAUUAAAGAAUAUUUAAUGUUAGCUGGGCGCGGUGGCUCACGCCUAUAAUCCCAGCACUUUGGGAGGCCAAGGAGGGUGGAUCACAAGGUCAAGAGAUCAAGACCAUCCUAGUCAACAAGGUGAAACCCCGUCUCUACUAACAAUACAAAAAAUAGCGGGGUGUGGUGGUGCAUGCCUGUAGUCCCAGCUACUCAGGAGGCUGAGGCAGGAGAAUUACUUGAACCCAGGAGGCGGAGGUUGUGGUGAGCCGAGAUCGUGCCAUUGCACUCCAGUCUGGGUAACAACAGCGAAACUUCGUCUCAAAAAAAAAAAAGAAUAUUUAAUGUGAAUACAGAAAUAUUUCAAAAGCACAAGCAAUAAAAGCUGGGAAGCUGACCGAAACUUAAAAAGGUGGUAUGACAGUUUGUCAUGAAUAGAAAAGAUGCUUACUCAGUACCAUAAGUUACUUGGCAGAAGAAAAGGCAAGCCCUAUUCAAACUACUUAGUUUCUACAAUGAAAUAAAACAGUUUAAUUCUAUUUCUAAUGUUUUAAAUUACAGUGUACUAUAUAAAUAGUAUUAAACUUUUUUGCAUUUUUUUCCUACAUUUACAAGUGAUCUUAAGAGUUUUUAAUAUUUUAGCAGAAUUUUAAAGGUCAUGGAACAGUCAUUUUCCCCAUUGAUAUUAAGACUGUUUUGCAUGGCCAUUUUUAUGGUCCCACAAUACUGUGCAAAAUGAGGACUGCUUGUACCUGGGAACAAUGCCUGCUUCAGGGAAGACUGAUUUGACAGAACUGACUAGUUGAGUGUUAAACUAUUUUGGAAAUAAUCUACAUAUCUAAGUGCUGAAAUAUAUUUCUCUUCUCCCCAGUUAUUCAAAUAAAAAUGUUUUAAUAC